rnacentral:rRNA from 1 species
GCUCAGGAUGAACGCUAGCGGCAGGCUUAAUACAUGCAAGUCGAGGGGCAGCAGGGGUGUAGCAAUACACUCGCUGGCGACCGGCAAACGGGUGCGGAACACGUACGCAAUCUACCCAAAACUGAUGAAUAGCCCUCCGAAAGGAGGAUUAAUACAUCGUAAUCUUUUAAAGUGGCAUCACUUUAUCAGUAUAGCUCCGGCGGUUCUGGAUGAGCGUGCGCCUGAUUAGGUAGUUGGCGUAGGUAACGGCUCACCAAGCCUGCGAUCAGUAACUGGUGUGAGAGCACGACCAGUCACACGGGCACUGAGACACGGGCCCGACUCCUACGGGAGGCAGCAGUAAGGAAUAUUGGUCAAUGGACGCAAGUCUGAACCAGCCAUGCCGCGUGAAGGAUGAAGGUGCUCUGGAUUGUAAACUUCUUUUAUAGGGGAAGAAACCGGGAAAUUCUUUUUCCGUUGACGGUACCCUGGGAAUGAGCACCG